ensembl:lncRNA
AUUCCAUUAUAAACAACCUCUGUUUAGAGUUGACCUAGCCCUAUUCCAUUAUAAACAACCUCUGUCUAGAGGUGACCUAGCCCUAUUCCAUUAUAAACAACCUCUGUCUAGAGGUGACCUAGCCCUAUUCCAUUAUAAACAACCUCUGUUUAGAGGUGACCUAGCCCUAUUCCAUUAUAAACAACCUCUGUCUAGAAGUGACCUAGCCCUAUUCCAUUAUAAACAACAAUAUAACUAUGUUUAGAGGUGACCUAGCCCUAUUCCAUUAUAAACAACCUCUGUCUAGAGGUGACCUAGCCCUAUUUCAUUAUGAACAAAAGUUGAACUUAGAGAACUUAGAGCCACUGUUACUUUUAUUGUAAAUUAUUUAACUUUUCAUUUUUAUUGUAAAUGAUUAAAAUCUUACUUUUAUUAAUUAAAUUGUACUUUAGCGUAAAUGAUUUAACUAACUUUUAUUGUUAAUUAUUUAAAUUUGAAUUUAUUGUAAAUUACUUUAAUGUUAAACUGUUAUCAUUUUCCAAUGUACUUUUCUAUGUAUUGUAUAUACUGUUUACUUUCUAGAAAUGUGUUCUUUUUUUCCAGUUUACUUUGCAAUGUAUAUUAUUUUCAAAUGUAUUAUUAUUAUUAUCUAUGAUUGUGUAUAAUAUUUUUUUUAGCAAUUCUGAAUGCAAUCGACCAGCAUGACGUUCACCUCUCUGUACCCUGCAAUCGAGGCAAUGUAACCAUAGAAAUAUAAUUACAAGAACAGUAUUCCUGUUCAUUCUCCCUUGUUCUAAUGGGCUUUUUCCCCAUCCCCAAAUCUAGAAAUCAUAUAUCUAUGAAAGUUAAAGAGAAAAAAAAAUCCACUUUUCCUCAGCUGUCCUCUGAAUGUUUGGCAGGUGAUUUAACUAAGUGUCAUAUUUUCUUAGCUGCUAUCAAUAAGACAUUCAUCUGCUAUUUAAAAAUAUAUAUUUUUGCACUCCUGCAUUUGCAUGACUAUGAUGCACCAACAUUUAUAAGUCAGUUGCUUAUAAAUUAAAGUAAAUUAAAGUAAAGAAGCUGUUCAUUUAUUGUAUCAAAUGAACACAUAUAGAGAAUCAGAGUUGAUAUUAUUAUAAUCAUCUGAAAAUAACCCCAAUCAGUCAGUACAUCCACGUAUAGUCAAGAAUACUUUUUUAUUUUUUAUUUUUUUAUACAUAUCAUUGUUGCUAUUGUCAGAAUAAACUGUCCAACAUAUCAGUUAAAAACAUUAUUUGUUCAAUAUUAAUUAAUACAGUGCCUUCUGAAAGCAUUCUGAAAGCAAUUGACUUUUUCCCACAUUCUGUUGUGUUACAGCAUGAAUUAAACAUGGAUCAAAUUUAGAUGUUGUGUCACUGAUCUACACUCAAUACCCCAUCAUAUUCAAAGUGGAACAAAUUAAUUAAAAAUUAAAAGCUGAAACGUCUUGAUGACAAUAAGUAUUCAACACAUUUGUUAUGGCAAACCUAAAGUUCAGGAGUAAACAUUUGCUUAACAAGUCACAUAAGUUGCAUGGACUCACCCUGUGUGUAAUAACAGUGUUUAACAUGAUUUAUGAAUGACUACCUCAUCUCUGUACCCCACACAUACAAUUAUCUCUAAUUUCCCUCAGUCCAGCAAAGAAUUUCAAACAUCAAUUCAACCACAAAGACCAGGGAGGUUUUUCAAUUCCUCUCAAAAGAAGGGCUCCUAUUGGUCGAUGGGUAAAACUAUAAAAGCAGACAUUGAAUAUCCCUUUGAGCAUGGUGAACUUAUUAAUUACACUUUGGAUGGUGUAUCAAUACACCCAGUCACUACAAAUAUCCACGCUUCCUUCAGUUACCUGGAGAGGAAGGAAAACUGCUCAACGAUUUCACCAUGAGGUCAAAGGUGACUGUAAACAGUUACAGAGUUUAAAGGAUGUGGAUAAGAGAAAACUGAAGAUGGAUCAACAACAUUGUAGUUAACUCCAAAAUACUGACCUAAAUGACUGAGUGAAAAGAAGGAAGCCUGUACAGAAUCAAAAAUAUGACAAAACAUCCUGUUUUCCGGAGGUUGGUGGCACCUUAAUUGAGGAGGACGGGCUCGUGGUAAUGGCUGGAGCGGAAUCAGUGGAAUGGUUUUAAUGGUUUCCAGGUGUUUGGUGCCAUUCCAUUUGUAUCGUUCCAGCCAUUAUAAUGAGCCGUCCUCCUCUCAGCAACCUCCACUGAUCAUUGUUUGCAAUAAGGAAACCGCUCAGAGAUUUCACCAUGACGCCAAUGGUGAUUUUAAAACAGUUACAGAGAUUAAUGGCUGUGAUAGGAGAAAACUGAGGACGGAUUAACAACAUUGUAGUUACUCCACAAUACGAACCUAAAUGACAGAGUGAAAAUAAGGAAGCCUGUACAGAAUAAAAAUAUUCCAAAACAUGCAUCCUGUAAAAAAUAUGGCAAAGAAAUUAACUUUAUGUCCUGAAUACAAAGCGUUACGUUUGAGGCAAAUCCAACACAACACAUCACUGAGUAGCACUCUUCAUAUUUUCAAGCAGGGUGAUGGCUGCAUCAUGUUAUGGGUAUGCUUGUGAUUGUUAAGGUCUAGAGAGUGUUUUAGGAUAAAAAGAAGCAGAAUAGAGCUAAGCAGAGGCAAAAUCCUAGAGGAAAACCUGGUUCAGUCUGCUUUCCAACAGACAGUGGAGAGAAAUGCACUUUUCAGCAGGACAAUAACCUAAAACACAAAGCCAAAUAUACACUGAAGUUGCUUACCAAGACAACAUUGAAUGUUCCUGAGUGGCCCAGUUAUAAUUUUGACUUAAAUCUGCCUUAAUAUCUAUGGCAACACUUGAAAAUGGCUGUAUAGCAAUGAUUAACAACCAACUUGAAAGAGCUCGAAUAAUUGAAGCAUUUAAAAAAAAGAAUAAUGUGCAAAAAUUGUACUAUCCAGCUGUGCAAAUCUCUUAGAGACUUAGAGCCAGAAAGACUCACAGCUGUAAUCUCUGCCAAAGGUGAUUCUAACAUGUAUUGACUCGGGGGGUGUGAAUACACAUGUUAAUUAGAUAUUUCUGUAUUUCAUUUGCAAUACAUUUGUGAAAAUGUCUAGAAAACAUGUUUUCACUUUGUCAUUACUUUCUGAAGACUGUAAGGACAAGACACAGUCUCAUCGUACAUUUACAUAUUUUGAGGAUUGUUUUGUUUUGGCACUGAUUGGCUGAGGAAUGGUCAAACAUUUUCCCUUUGAUGUGAUUGGACUGAAAACACCUUCCCUUUCGAUGUGGUUGGUCAUUUGAAAUCUAUGCAUGUCGUAAUCAUGACUACAGCAUCCAUCUUGAACAGUGUCCAAAGGAGAUAUUUAUUAUUAGUGUUUUUUAGUGUUGCGUCUGCAUUAAAUAGAGCUUACUUGUGUUAAGUCUAUAAGUCAAUGAUUUAGUGUCUUGGAAAAACAUGUCACUAUUCUGUCCUACAAAAAAAAAUAGUUUCUUAUUUCAUCAUGAUUGAUCGUACAUGAUGUUUCUCAGUCAAGAUAAUGGAUUGUUGAUUGAUUGUAUAAUACCCUGAUUGAUGUACAAGGCUGAUAUUUCUUCCCGAGACAUUUUGUGAAGAAGAGCAUUUUGUUGCAUUGUGUUUUCAUAUGUCAUCAUAAUGCUUAUUAGUGUUUCUGGGACGGACGCAACGAAACCUUCCUUGGUUGAAGCUCAAGGCCUAGAUCCAAUCAGACCAAGAGUUAACGGCCGAUAGCCAACACCCGCAUAGCCAAUGUUUUGGAGGUGUCGCUGUAAAGCUGAAUUUGAGAUGAAUUUCCACGAUGCGGAUUAAGCAAAGCCCUAAAACUAUUAAUUGGAAUCUGGGUGGAAAUAUUGUUUUUGUUGAUAUUAUUUUAGAACUCACCUGGUUAAAAGAUUAUGAAUAAAAAUAUAUAAAUACAAAGAUCAAAUAAUCUGGUGGGUCACAUGGAAAGCACACAAAAAAAUAUUUUUGCACCUUCAGGGGACGGUUUCCAGGACAGAGAUGAAUAAGACUAGUCCUGGACUGAAUACCAAGAUCAAUGGAGAAUCUCCAUAAAACUAUGGAUUAGGAUUAGUCUUAAACCCUGAAACGGCCCCUAAAGGUGUUUGAUGAGGAAGCACAGUUAGACCAUAGAUUUACGAUCUAUACGAUGUCAUCCGUUUUUCUAACAUGAGGUAUGUCAAUACUGCACACUGUUAUCAAUUCAUCCCUAUGGAAAAGCAUACCAGAAUAUGUACAAAGACAAUGAUCGUGUGAUGUAACAUAAUCAGAUUUGGAUUAUCACCCUUUUUCUGUAAUAAAUCAUGGCUCUUUUAAAUCAA